rnacentral:misc_RNA from 1 species
UAUGUAAUCCUUGCAACUUCUUUAUUUUACUUUAUUUUUACUAAUUUCUGAGGUAUAAUAACGCUAAGCUUUUCCUAAAAUUUUUCUUCUUUGUACAUGAAAAUAUUAGUAAUUCAGAUAAUUAUGUCCAAGUUAUCCCCUCUUCCCUCUUCUCUCUUUCUCAUUCUGUGCUUUUCUUGCUUCUUUUGUUGCUUCUGUAACCAAAAAAAGAGAGUACAGUAGAUGCCACAUGGGCUAGUUAAUGUGGCAUGUAUAAUUCCAUAAAAAAAAUGUAGCACGUAUAAUUGGAUGACUCAGAUGAUGUAGAUCCAUUUUGAGUAUCUAUAAAAUAUUAAGUUCAUUUGGAGAUGUGAUUUUCUAACUUUAAAUCAAUAACUUAUCCAUUAUGUAUUUAUGUAAAUUGUAAUUUGACAUGGUUGGACUGUUGAUGUGGAUUCAAAUGAAGGUUUGCCUUCUCUAGAUAUGAACUUUGACACUAUACCUUACUUCCUAAUGUGCUUAAACAGCAAGGCCUUCAUAGUAUUAUUUUAGCAGUUAUUUGAUGAAUUUCUUAACAGUAAACUGUAUGCGUGAAAGCUCGAUGGCUACAUUGUGUAAUCAAGCAUGUUGAGAUCACUCAUGUCUAGGGAGGCUUUUUUGUGAUCACAAAAAUUUCCAAAUGUUUCUGACAUUGGUUUUCUGGAUGUUGUUUGGCUUCAUAUCAUCAAUUUUAUGGUGUUAUUUUCACACCUUUCGAUUUCAGGCUUGGCCUAUUGAAUGCAUAUAGUUGGUUUUCUAUUGCUAAUUCAAUGAUUUGAG